rnacentral:lncRNA from 1 species
UCUUGAUUUGUCUUUACAUAAAUGAGGAAAGCACUGUGAAUAAUUUAUUGCAUUGUUUUAAUACUUGUUUAUUCUUGUUUUAUAAGUUGUGGUGGGAGACUCUUUUACAUUUUCCCCUUUGUUUUGUCAUUCUAACCAUGUAGCUUGGCUUCUGCUUCUCAAGGAACUCUAAAGGGAAUAAAAUAACCCUAAAGUAUGGAUUAUCUCUGCUGUUGGAGUUUUGAAAUCUCAGGACCCAAGAUGGAACAUGGGGCAAAAACUGAUGCUGUGCUCCAGAAAUCUGAACUUAAGUCCAAGUGCCAGCAUGGACUUUUACCUCUAUGGGACUUAAUGAACUUGUCAGGAAAGCUAAGCUGCUGGCUGUUGCUUCAGCUGACCUUCUCGACAUCUCAGAGGACUGUCUUGGAAACACCGGGUUUGGAAAGCUUUGAGUAAAAGUUGCUGGUCUUCACUCUGCUCCUCAGGUGAGAUACAGAAGCAUGAUAUGAAAGCAAAAUUCAUAGUGUUGUGGGAAGUGAGUGCAACCAGGAACUGGCCUUUUGCAGUAAUGAAACUCAGAAUCACAAACUGGAUUCUGAGAAACUGUAGUGCUCAGCCACAGGAGUGACCAUGCAUAAAAUUGAAGAACUUUGAAAAGUAGAUACACAGUUAUACUGGAGAGAAAACCACUACUUCCACUACUGAAAACAAAAAUUCCAGGCAACCCUCCUCCUCUACUUCCCGUCUAGAAUUGACUUUUAGUUUGUAAUUUUUGUGUCCC